rnacentral:rRNA from 1 species
GACAGAGGUGCCAAGCGUUAGGCGGAAUCACUGGGCUUAAAGCGUGUGUAGGCGGAAUUGUAAGUACCUUGUGAAAUCCCACGGCUCACCCGUGGAACUGCUGGGCAUACUGGCGAUCUUGGGCCAACUAGGGGCAGCCGGAACAAGCGGUGGAGCGGUGAAAUGCGUAGAUAUCGCUUGGAACGCCGAAGGUGAAAACAGGCUGCUGGGGUUGCGCCGACGCUGAGACACGAAAGCCAGGGGAGCAAACGGG